rnacentral:misc_RNA from 1 species
AAGUCGUAACAAGGUCUCCGUAGGUGAACCUGCGGAGGGAUCAUUACCGAGUGAGGGCCUCCGGGCCCGACCUCCAACCCCAUGUUAUCCGACCCUGUUGCCUCGGGGCGACCCGGCCCUUUCAGCGCCGGGGCCCCGGUGGACCACUCAACACUGCAUCUCUGCGUCUGAGUUAGAUAUUGAAUCAAUCAAAA